rnacentral:rRNA from 1 species
AACGAACGCUGGCGGCAUGCCUAACACAUGCAAGUCGAACGAACCCUUCGGGGUUAGUGGCGCACGGGUGCGUAACGCGUGGGAAUCUGCCCUUUGCUUCGGAAUAACAGUUAGAAAUGACUGCUAAUACCGGAUGAUGUCUUCGGACCAAAGAUUUAUCGGCAAAGGAUGAGCCCGCGUAGGAUUAGGUAGUUGGUGGGGUAAAGGCCUACCAAGCCGACGAUCCUUAGCUGGUCUGAGAGGAUGAUCAGCCACACUGGGACUGAGACACGGCCCAGACUCCUACGGGAGGCAGCAGUGGGGAAUAUUGGACAAUGGGCGCAAGCCUGAUCCAGCAAUGCCGCGUGAGUGAUGAAGGCCUUCGGGUCGUAAAGCUCUUUUACCAGGGAUGAUAAUGACAGUACCUGGAGAAUAAGCUCCGGCUAACUCCGUGCCAGCCGCCGCAGUAAUAC